UUCCCCCUAGAUCACAAUCUCAGACAUUAAUGACUUGCCAUUCAUGUUCAUAUUUAUUAUUAAUUGAGGUUACAAAACGGGCUAACUACCACAAGAAGUGGGGGAUGGAGACAUGGGAGGGGGUGGGAUCUAAGGGACAAGGGUAAAUCACCGGGAAACUUGCCUGAACACAAACUCAAGAGUCUCCUGGCUACUGAGGCUGAGGUCUAACCCCCAUGUCCCUGAGGAUAUCAGAGCAGGAGACAGCAUUCACACUCCGCAGGUAGACUCCAUGGUGCUGGCGGAUAUAGUUUCCCUCUAGCCCUCCUCUCCUUUGGCUGUAUUCCUCUGACUUCUGUGUGGCCUGCUGUAGCCACAUAAGAAAACCUGACCCCUCAGAGUCCCCUGCUCUGGCUGACCUCCAUGCCUUUGGAUUCCUACUCAGUCACAGAUUUUAAGGCCUCCGUCGCUGCCCUAUGUGUGGCUCCGGCGGCCCACUUCUGCCAUGAUGGCCUGGGCACUUUCUGUCCAUUUCUGUUCCUGGUGGUGCCUUGGUGGGAAUCCUCUCCGCGCCCCUCCUCACUAGUUGGUUCCCAGGAGGAAGAUGAGCGUGAAACCCACAUGUUUCUGAGACUUCUGAGGAAUUAGCUGCAAGAAAUUGUCUGGUUUCAGAAGCUAUGAUGGAGGACUAAGGAAUUCCUGUACUUUACUGGCAAAUCCUGGCUUCUGUUAUAAGCCUAAACCAAGAGCUUUUCUCUUAAAGGAAAUCAUCAGAUUUGGCAAAUGAUCGCUUCUCCAGAAAUACUUCUUACUAAAAUGAAUCCUCAUUUUUUUUGGUCCUCUACAUUCAAAUGGAAGAAAAGUUCAAGAACAUAAAUAAACGUUUCAUUCUUUCUGCCUGGGUGAUGGGCUCUGUGACCCCUAUCUCCCGACGGUAGCCCCAUGAGGCUGCCCUCCCUGAAACACUGGACUUAAUUUGCUGCGAGUUUUGCCCAGACUCCCUUCACCCCUGUCUCCUAGCUGUUAUCUGAGUCACAGGGAAAAGACACAGAAGAGGGAUAAGCUGAGAUGUGGUGACAAAGGGACCAUGAUCAGAUUUAUGCCGGAUCUUGUCUAUGACGUGUUACACUCUCCGGGGAUCUCAUCAGGUGGUAUAUAUAACGCAGAGGAACCUGGGGUUCCCUUCACUGUUUAAUACACCAGCUCAAUGCCUUAGAAUUCUGAGAAACCAUUUUUUCCCCUCUAACAAGCUGCUUUUCCCUUUGAUAUUUCCCUACAAAUCUGAUUUGAAAAAACAUUGCUUAAACAAACCCACAGUGUCAGAUUUAUUCUAACAGCAUGAGGUCACAAUAUAUUCUACUCUUGGUAGUUCAAGAUAAAGAUUACCCAAAGAAAAGGAAGAGAUUAAGUGAAGCCACAACUGCAACAGUGCCGCACUUUUGGGUGAAAGUCUGUUAAUAAACAGUGUGAAUCGUAGAACUGUUGAAAGGAACAUACUUUUUAAACAAGCAUAUGAAGAGGCCACUAUAUGUCCAGAAUUAUUCAAAAAUACUUUCCUAUAAAUAUUUAAAUGUAAUCUUAUCAACUUAUUUGCUGAAGGUAAUAGUAAUAAAACAGUACUAGUUACCGUGUGUUGAGUGCUUCCCGAGUGUCAGGAACAUGCUAAGAAGCCCACAUGCAUCGUUUCACUAAAUCUCAAAGGAUCCCGAGAUAGAGGCAAUCAUUUCCAUUCUCAUGAGGCAAAGAUAGAGGUGAACGAGAGGCCACACCCAGCCGCCUUCCCGAGGGUCUGCUGACUAUCGCCUUACCGAGGGUCUGCUGUAGGACUCCAAGCCCCGCCUGCGUCUCUCCCCAUGGUCCACAGCAAUGGCCCCUCACCGUGGGGCUCAGACAUCCUUGCCAUUACAUCGCGACUACCUUGCUGGGUCUUCUUCCUCCCCUCCUCCUGCUCCUCCUCCCCUCUUCCUCCCCCCCCCCAUGACUUAUGACAACAUACACUCACAACAAAUAUUUCUCAACUUUCCAGAAGUUAAUGAAUAGCUAAUAUUCCCAGAUAAUACCAGCAUCUAAGAAAUUGCCCAAAGUGGUUUAAAGCAGUUGAUUACCUUAAGGAAAU
ensembl:lncRNA